CAAGUACUCCCUCCGUUCGGAAUUACUUGUCGCGGAAAUGGAUGUAUCUAGACGUAUUUUAGUUCUAGAUACAUCCAUUUCCGAGACAAGUAAUUCCGAACGGAGGGAGUACUAG
rnacentral:pre_miRNA from 1 species